rnacentral:misc_RNA from 1 species
GUUUAAUAAUUAUUCAUCAAUAUUAUUCAAUUUAAGUAUGCACAUACAAUAUUGGUUAGCAGAAAAACAUUGUGUUGGGGGAAAAAGGAGAAGACUGGAUUUUCAAUUUUUUUUUGGGUACUCAGCAAGUAUGGCAAAAGGCUGAAAAUGGAGAGAAAGGCCCACUAACAUCAAUUCAGUUGCACUAACGUAAUGUGACAUAGAGAAAACUACAAGCAGGCCUCUCUCUUAUUUCUCUGUUUCUACUUAAAACCUCUACACCGAAAAAGCCUCUGUGCACCACUUGUUUCAUUCCCAGGCCUCACUCACUUGUGCUUGAGCAUUUUGAAGGCGUCCUUGGAGCUGCAUCCAAUAAUAUCAAUAGGGAAAUUAAUUAUCAAAAAAAAAAAAUUUGAUAGUAGUAAUAAUUAAAAAAAAAUUCAGAAUUCACAAUUUUUUUUUUUAAAAUUACCUAAUCCAAUUGCUUCUGAGCUUUUCAUCAACCUUAGUCGCUUACACGAUUCAACAAACAUUUUCCAUGGUACAUCCCCAACCAUCAUCCAGUCACCAUCUUUAUCCUCAUAAGCAGCUACGUAUUCCACUCCGUUCACUAUUGUCUUCUCAUUCAAAUAAUUCCGUAUGGUGAAGCAAGAGAACAUGUCCUCUAAGGCACUCAAGAGCUGCUGAUAGCUAUUGUAAAUCUCAAGAUCAACCUUCCUUAAGUAUGGGGCUCCGUCCACCGCCACCUUCACAUAUUUACAGCUUUUCAUGGCGUUCUUUCUAUAUGAUCUCACUGGCGGCCACCCUACCACUUGUUCCUUUGCUGCCGGAGGCUUCGCCACGCCCGAGACAUGGUUCUCCGACUCAGUACAAUCUUUGUCGGUAGGAGAUCGAGAGCUAACAAGAUUUAGAUCAACGGUAUCCAAAAAUCCACGUUUAGUCCCUGUUUUCCCUCCGUUAGUAAUCUCUGUUGAUGCUCGAGACACACCGGGCAAGGCUAAGGUCAAUUCUGUUUCCUUCAAAUUGAUGCCGGAAGUAUCUGAUUCCUGCGACAUAUUUUCUCAACAGUGAGGUUGUUGAAUGGUACCGUGGUGGCGGUGCUAAAUUGGGUUUGUUUUUUAGGACGCCUGCGUGCUGAAAUGGUGAAGCGACGCAAGUCUUUGGACUCUAUUAUAUAAGAGGAAGGAGAAUCUGGCGGGCAAUAG